UUCAUUUGGAAGAAAAAAAAUUAUAAAUUUGAUGAAAUUUAUAUUCUCUUCAUUUUUCUUUAUUUUUUUAUUUUUUUAUAAAAAAAAUAUUCAAUCAAAAAAAAUUAUAACUUUUUCUUUCACUCUUCCCUUUUCUUUCUUAUCCUUCUCUUCCAACCAAGGAGUAAUUCUCGUAGGAAGAAGAACCGCUUAAAACAUUUCACUUUCCGGUUGGAAACGCAUGGAUGCUCGGAAACCGUUACAAGGGUCCACGGUUCUGUUCCUCCGUCAAGGGCUGUUUAAGACUGGCAAGCCGGUCUGUUUAACAUUCAUGCUCCUCUCCUUCCUACUCCGCCUUUUUGCCAUUUUUCCCCCUUUAUAAUGCUUAAUGGUGAAGCAUGGGCAUAGAAAUGAGAUGACGAUG
rnacentral:lncRNA from 1 species